UUUUUUUUUUUUUGAUUGGGUUACCUCACUAAGGAUGAUAUCCUCCAGAUACAGCCAUUUGCCCAAGAAUUUCAUAAAUUCAUUGUUUUUAAUAGCUGUGUAGUACUCCAUUGUGUAAAUGUACCAUAUUUUCUGUAUCCAUUCCUCUGUUGAGGGGCAUCUGGGUUCUUUCCAGCGUCUGGCUAUUAUAAAUAAGGCUGCUAUGAACAUAGUGGAGCAUGUGUUCUUAUUACCAGUUAGAACAUCUUCUGGAUAUAUGCCCAGGAGAGGUAUUGCUGGAUCUUCUGGUAGUAUUAUGUCCAAUUUUCUGAGGAACCUCCAGACUGAUUUCGAGAGUCGUUGUCCCAGCUUGUCAUCCCACCAGCAAUGGAAGAGUGUUCCUCUUUCUCCACAUCCUUGCCAGCAUCUGCUGUCACCUGAAUUUUUGAUCUUAGCCAUUCUGACUUUUGUGAGGUGGGAUCUCAAGGUUGUUUUGAUUUGCAUUUCCCUGAUGAUUAAGGAUGUUGAACAUUUUUUUCAGGUUCAUCUCAGCCAUUUGGUAUUCCUUAGUUGAGAAUUCUUUGUUUACCUCUGUAUCCCGUAUUUUAAUGUGGUUUUUUGAUUUUCUGGAGUCCAGCUUCUUUAGCUCUUUGUAUAUAUUGGAUAUUAGUCCCCUAUAAGAUUUAGUAUUGGUAAAAAUCCUUUUCCAGUCUGCUGGUGGCCCAGGCUCACUUUAAAGUGUCAAAUAAUACAGUUGAAACUGUACUUUACCUGUGUCACAUGUAAGCAACUCCUUUGGUGCUAGAGACCAGUCUGUGAGCUCUGGCCUAUGCCUAAUGCCAUUUAUUUUUCCAGGAUACCCUCUCAUCACAGCAGACCUUAGACUUGUCUCCAAGACAAUUCUGUAUGAGGUUUCAUGCUCUGCCUCUUCAGUUGCUCUAGUAUUGUCCUCAGCUCUACAGCAGGAGGUUGAAAGAGGUGUAGUAGAUUGAUCCCAUUGCUUCUUGGCCUAGUGCAGUUGGAACAGCACUGUUCAUACAAAUAUUGGCCUGGGAAAAGGAGCAGAGUAUAGCAUUGAGUUUCACCACAAUAGGGGGUGUACCGGGUUUUAACUUUAACACCUCGAUUUAAUUAAUUCCCAUCCCUCAAAGGGGAGGUGCCUUUGUUUGGCAUUGCUUGUCAGGAAGGGUAGAAAAGAAUAGGGCCUAGAACUUCCUUGCCUUUUCUGAUGCAUUUACUCCUAAUGAUCUCUUACCUAAUUUCCUUAGUUCUGGUGAUGCUAUUUAGGCACUUGAUGUGUUUGUGGAGAGAUCAUUGGAGUGUCUUGGCCAUCAUAUUACUCAUGUUCCACUAAGAGUUUAUUUCUAGCACUGAUUUAUGUAUGUCUUUAUGCUAGUAUCAUCCUGCCUUGAAUCUCAACCUUCAUAGUAAUAUUUGAAUUCAGGAAGUGGGAGUCCUUCAAUUUCUUUGUCAAGAAAGUAUUUCCUUACUCUGCUUUUCUUCUUCUGUGUUUCCCCUUCUUUGAAAAUAGUUUCUUAGCCAGGCAAUGAUGGUGCGUGUCUUUAACCCCAGCACUCAGGAGGCAGAGGCAGGUGGAUUUCUGUGUUCGAGGCCAGCCUGGUCUACAAAGUGAGCUCCAGGACAGCCAGGGCUAUACAGAGAAACCCUGUCUCGAAAAACCAAAAACAAACAAACAAAAAAGUUUCUUCAUUUGCUUCUCUGUGAAGCUAUUCCUCUAUGUGGUCUCAUAGCACACACAUAGCUUUGACUGUCUGUUCUCCCAGUCUUGUGAUGAUGGAUUAUUGAAUUCUGCCCUUUCCUCCUCACAUUUUUAAAACAGUGUUCAAUUGUUUUUCAAAAUUUUCUAGAUCUUUCAUAUCCCAUGCUUCAGUGGGUACCCAAUUUUUAAGGACAUGUGUUCCUUGUCUGUGACUCUUUUGCUCCCUCAUGAGACCCUUUCUCUCCUAUUGGGUUGCCUCAUCCAGCCUUAAUAUGAGGGGAUGUGCCCAGUCUUAUUGGAACUUGUCAUGCCACAUUCUGGUGAUAUCCCUGGGAGGCUCUUUUCUGAAGGGAAAUGGAGAAGCAAUGGAUGUGGGGGAGAGGAGAUGUGUGUGUGUGGGGGGGGGGGGCUGGAAGGAUGGAAGGGAGGGGAGGCUGUAGUGGAGAUGUAUGAGAGAAGAAUAGAAAAAAACAGUGAUUUUAGGAAAAGUUCAGGCUAUAGCAAUUAACACAUUUAUUAGAGAGAGAGAGAGAGAGAUUGAUCCAGGCACAAAAAUGGACCUCAAGAGUCGGGAUAGGGUACGUGAUGUUGAGUUAUUUGAUUUAUCGGUCCCCUUCUUCAGCUUUUCAAAUUUCAAACCACUUGACCUAUCAUAAAUCCUAUACCUCAUAGGAAAGCCUCCCUUUGUUUGGAUAGUCUAUCUUAAUUUCUCCCUUCUCUGAACUGUAAUAGUAUUUAUUAUUUCUACCCCCAAUCUAACAUUUGAUUAAGUAUUCUAGUCUCCUGUUCUUUAAUGGGCUUAGAUGUGGUGACCGUACUUCUUUAUGUGAGACUGGUGGUAGAUUUGCAGUAUAACGUACUAUUGGAGGAAAUGAUUCUAAGCUCUUUUCUUAAUUGAAAGUGGAUCUUAAAAUGUAAUAUAUUCUGAUUAUGGUUUCCCUUCCUCAGCUCCUCUCAGACAGAUCCUUCCUGCUUCCCCACCCACCCAAAUGCACACCCAUUCUUUCUCUCUUUCAUUAGGAUGCACACAGGUGCCCCCCAAACAUAAUUAGCUGAAAUAAAACCAAGUAAACCAGAAUAGGACAAAGCAAACACACACACAAUCAAAGGAAAAAGAACCAAGGGUAAUGCUCAAGAACCACACCCAGAAAUCCCCUAAAAACACCAAGUGGGCGGGGCCUGACUAAGCAUUAUAAAGCAAAGAAUUUCCAAAACUUCUAUUGAGUUCCUUUUGUGUUGGCCAUCUUUUGCUCAGCAUGGGACCUGGUCAUAAGAGUCGAUUGUAUCUUGCCCCGCCACUCCCCAGUGGUGCUCUAUUGGAGAAAACUAGGUUUUCAUUUGCAGAUGGUUCGCCAUUAGAGAUAACUUCUGGGUUAAGGAUGUAGGCUUGUGUUCACUUCCUCUGUCAAUGGUGGGAACCCAUCAGGGUCAGAUCUGUGCAGGCCAUCUGCAUGCUGCUUGUGCCCAACAUUGUUUGGGUGGCCAAGUAACUAGGGGGAAACCAAAUGUCACUAUUCUGCCAAAGGAAUGAAGCAAUAAAAUAACUCCUAAUGGCAUUCUGAUCCAUCCAUAUAUCUAUGUCUGACUCAGAGAUGAUCAAUGAAGCUGCUCCUUGCAGUAGAUAGGAACUAAUAAAUGAUUGUAAGCUCUUGCAAGCAAGAAUGGUAUUUUUCUUAUUUCCUGCUUUGGUAUUCAUCAUGACAUACUAAUCAAUACAUUUAGAUUUAUGGAGAAAUCAACAAAUUGCUAUUGUAAUUAAGUUUUCACUCAAUGCUGUCAUCCACCUUAAACCAUACUACAUUUGCGAGUAGCCUACAGUGCUAUGAUGAGUAUGCUGUACAGAAAUGGCUGCUGUAGUCACUCUGCUUAAGUAGGCAGCAUUCUAUUCUGGAUCAUUAUAAGCUUUUUGCAGCAAAGAAGGUAGUUGUAGCUUUUCAUGUGACAAGCCAUUUCUUGUGGCCUUGCUAUUGUCUCUUUCUCACAGGGACUACUUGGAGCACCUCAGAGGACCACAUAGUAUACGGUAGCAUAGGGACAUGGACAAAGAUCUAUAAGCAUACUAGCUAUUUCGUUUUUCUUGUUUCUCAAAUCCUCUCUGUAGAAUAUAGAGGGAAAAUGUGGUUUUUUUUCGAUAUAACAAAUUUAUUUGACAUAGACUUAAGAGAGC
rnacentral:lncRNA from 1 species